GUUUCUGUAGUGUAGUGGUUAUCACAUUUGCCUCAUGCACACAAGGUCCCUGGUUCAAAACCAAGUAGAAACA